UACAGAGGGUGCGAGCGUUAAUCGGAUUUACUGGGCGUAAAGCGUGCGUAGGCGGCUUUUUAAGUCGGAUGUGAAAUCCCUGAGCUUAACUUAGGAAUUGCAUUCGAUACUGGGAAGCUAGAGUAUGGGAGAGGAUGGUAGAAUUCCAGGUGUAGCGGUGAAAUGCGUAGAGAUCUGGAGGAAUACCGAUGGCGAAGGCAGCCAUCUGGCCUAAUACUGACGCUGAGGUACGAAAGCAUGGGGAGCAAACAGGAUUAGAUACCCGGGUAGU
rnacentral:rRNA from 1 species